rnacentral:rRNA from 1 species
CUGGUUGAUCCUGCCAGUAGUAUAUGCUUGUCUCAAAGACUAAGCCAUGCAUGUGAUCAGUGCAGUCCUUGUACGACGAAACUGCGAAUGGCUCAUUAAAACAGUUAUCGUUUAUUUGGUAAUCAUCUACUACAAGGAUAACUGUAGUAAUUCUAGAGCUAAUACUUGCGUUUUCCCGACUUUUCGGAAGGGAUUGCAUUUAUUAAAUACAAACCAGUCGGUGGUUUACCACUGUUAAAUGGUGAUUCAUAAUAACUAACCGAAUCGCGUGGGCUCGCCCGGCGAUAGACCUUUCAAGUUUCUGAUCUAUCAGCUAUUGACGGUAGGGUAUUGGCCUACCGUGGCGAUGACGGAUAAAGGGGGAUUAGGGUUCGACUCCUGACAGGGAGCCUGAGAAACGGCUACCGCAUCUAAGGAUGGCAGCAGGCGCGCAAAUUACCCAAUCCUGACACAGGGAGGUAGUGACAAGAAAUAACAAUACAGGGCUUCACAGUCUUGUAAUUGGAAUGAGUAGACUUUAAAUCUCUCUACGAGUAACAAUUGGAGGGCAAGUCUGGU